rfam:Anaerovibrio lipolyticus strain 5S contig00266, whole genome shotgun sequence.
GCUGAUAUAGCUCAGUCGGUAGAGCGCAUCCUUGGUAAGGAUGAGGUCACCAGUUCAAAUCUGGUUAUCAGCU